rnacentral:snoRNA from 1 species
CCCCCCCAGAUGCCAUACCAACCCGACCUAAACACUGGUCUGAGUAAGUAUAAAUAGAGGAAAAGUAAACGUGAAAAUGACUUAAAGUCUAUUUGUAUUGUAAUAAAUCAUCUUAUUGGGGGC